rnacentral:rRNA from 1 species
UGGGGGAUAUUGCACAAUGGGGGAAACCCUGGAUGCAGCGACGCCGCGUGUGGGAAGACGGUCUCUGGAUUGUAAACCACUGUCCCCAGGGACGAAGAUGACGGUACCUGGGGAGGAAGCUCCGGCUAACUACGUGCC